rnacentral:rRNA from 1 species
UACGGAGGGUGCGAGCGUUGUUCGGAUUUAUUGGGCGUAAAGCGCGUGUAGGCGGUUUCUUAAGUCUGAUGUGAAAGCCCCGGGCUCAACCUGGGAAGUGCAUUGGAUACUGGGAAACUUGAGUACGGGAGAGGGUAGUGGAAUUCCUAGUGUAGGAGUGAAAUCCGUAGAUAUUAGGAGGAACACCGGUGGCGAAGGCGGCUGCCUGGACCGAUACUGACGCUGAGACGCGAAAGCGUGGGGAGCAAACAGG